AAAAAAAUGCUAGCUCCGUGUCAAGAUAUCAUUGAAGAUAUAGAAGAUUUAAUAUCAUCGCAAGAUAUUACACCAAAGGAACGAUAUAGUGCAAGGAAAAAUGUUACUGUUCGUUCUAAACGUAAACAAGUAACUGAAGAUGUACCAGAACCUCCUAUUUUCGAUAGUAUUGUGCCAGGGACACAGACAAUUUAUACAAAGACAUGGGGUUGUACUCAUAAUAAUUCUGACAGUGAAUAUAUGGCAGGUCAACUUGCUGCUUAUGGUUACAAAUUAACAGAGAAUAAAUAUGAAGCAGAUCUGUGGCUCUUAAACUCUUGUACAGUAAAAAGUCCAGCAGAGGAUCAUUUCAGGAAUGAAAUCGAAGCUGGAAGAAAGAUGGGAAAACAUGUUGUAGUUGCCGGAUGCGUACCACAAGGUGCACCAAAGUCAUCUUUCUUACAAGGAUUAAGCAUGAUCGGCGUGCAACAAAUCGAUCGUGUGGUAGAAGUAGUCGAAGAAACUCUGAAAGGUAAUACCGUUCGGUUCCUGCAACAGAAAAAGGAAGCUGGUAAAAAGAUCGGCGGCGCCUCUUUAAGAUUGCCUAAGAUUCGCAGGAAUCCACUGAUCGAAAUCAUAGCUAUAAAUACUGGGUGUUUGAAUCAAUGCACUUACUGCAAGACAAAACAUGCGAGAGGUGAACUGGGAAGUUAUCCUCCCGAUGAAAUUGUUGAGCGUGCGAUACAGGCGUUCGACGAAGGCGUCUGCGAGUUAUGGUUAACCUCUGAAGACACAGGAACUUAUGGUAGAGAUAUUGGCACGAGUUUGCCCGAAUUACUGUGGACACUGGUGAAAGUGGUGCCCGAUGGAUGUAGGGUUCGCGUUGGAAUGACUAACCCACCAUAUAUCCUGGAGCAUCUGGAGGAGAUGAGCAAAAUUCUGAGCCAUCCAAAAGUUUACAGUUUUCUUCACAUUCCGGUGCAAUCUGGAAGCGAUCAGGUGUUAGCCGAUAUGAAGCGAGAGUAUACCCGUGCCGAUUUCGAGCGAGUUGUCAACUAUCUACGAGAACGUGUUCCUGAGUUAACUAUAGCGACGGAUAUCAUUUGCGGUUUCCCAACAGAAACAGAACAGGAUUUUGAAGAGACGAUGAAACUUUGCGAAAAGUAUAAGUUCCCGAGUUUGUUUGUCAAUCAGUUUUUUCCCAGGCCGGGAACGCCAGCUGCUCGAAUGACGAAAAUACCUACGCAAAUUGUGAAGAACAGAACCAAAAGGUUAUCAGAAUUUUUUCAAUCCUAUUCUCCGUAUUUUGACAGAAUAGGACUCGUCCAAGAUGUGCUAGUGACAGAAAUAUCCCAUGAUAGAAAGCACUACGUCGGACAUAAUAAAUCUUAUGAACAGGUUCUCCUACCGUUAAAGGAAGAAUAUUUAGGAAAAAUAGUUACGGUAAAGAUCAUAGAAACGACAAAAUAUUCUAUGAAGGGGGAACCAAUAAUAGAAGGUACGUCCCCGGCGUUAAAACCAUGUUUACCAAAAGGAGCUAUAUCAGGAAUACCAAUGGAAAUGAAAUCAUCGAAAUAUAGAAUAGGAGUUGCCCUGGCAAUUCUCCUAGCAAUCAUUCUCAGGCUAUUAUGGAAGUUUUUUAUGAUUUAGCAAGUCUCUUGUUCUUAAAUUCUUUAAUCCGGAAUCUAUAAGAAAGAUCUAUAAGAAAGAUGUUACUAUCGAUUCAGGCGUUAAUGCCAGGAACGGACUGGAACUUGAAUUUCUACCUGACUGACUGACUGACUGACUGACUGGCUCUCCAUUUUUAGUUCAUUAGUUAAAUUCUACGUAGGGCUGCGUCAAAUCCCACAAAUCCCUACCGAUUCACCGGUAAUUUUUCCGAAUCUACGCGAUGCGACGUGGAUCAGUCCGCAUCUAAAAUUGAUAGUUGUAUCGACAAAUCUGUUUAAGUUUUAGAAAAUGCACUAACAAAUCUUUACAUUAACAAACUUUUUAAAAUCAACAAUUAAAAUUUGUAAUCUGUUGACACCAUAAGAAGCUAAUGCAUAAAUACUGUUUCUAGUCAUUAGUUUCCCAUUAAUUUGCACGGUAUAGUAACAUUCAUAUAUUACUACGUUACUAUUUACAAAUUGAUCAAGAGCUGUCCGAUGCGCCGUACAUUUUAUUGUAGAUUUUCUACAUUUUCCUAUGUACAUCAUGAUUCAACACAGUUGGAAUCCAAUAAAUCAAGGUAACGAAGCCCCGAGUCAUUUUUUAACCUUCCCGUGAAUACGUACAUAUGUAUGUCCGGCAUCCCCAAAAUAAUGCAUCGAUUCAAAGGGUAGAGAUAUCUUCAACAACAAUUUAUCUACGCAAGAUGAAUGUACAUAUUUUUGUCACGAAUAAUACAAGCAUCUCAUACAAGCAUCUUAUCUCAUACGAUCACUGAUAAAAUAAAUAAAUAAUAUUAUUAAAUGAUGAAUUAAUAACAGUAUAAUGAUGAUGAUGAUGAUGAUGAUGAUAAUAAUGUGAAUAAAAAUAAAGGAAUAGGAAUAUCGUAAUAUUAUCAAAUACAAUGUUAAUUUUGAUCCUU